UACGGAGGGAGCUAGCGUUAUUCGGAAUUAUUGGGCGUAAAGGGCGCGUAGGCGGCCAUGCGUGUCUUCCGUGAAAUCCCUCGGCUUAACUGAGGACGUGCGGAAGAAACUGCAAGGCUCGAGUCCGGGAGAGGGGGGUGGAAUUCCCAGUGUAGCGGUGAAAUGCGUAGAUAUUGGGAGGAACACCGGUGGCGAAGGCGGCCCCCUGGACCGGUACUGACGCUGAGGCGCGAAAGCGUGGGUAGCAAACGGG
rnacentral:rRNA from 1 species